UGGGUUGUGACUCAACAGUAGAGCGCUCGCUUAGUAUGUGAGAGGACCUGGGUUCAAUCCUCAGCAUCACAU
rnacentral:tRNA from 1 species